GGGGUAUUGUCUUUAAAACCCGAGUGAAUCCUACGUCCAUAGAGAUGACCCGUUUUAAAACUCGUGUCAAAGUUUGCCAGGUCGCUUUUAAACUUCCGUUGCCGUUUCGAGUUAAUUUCGUGCUUCCUCCUGCGUAUGCCCGACGCCCCCAAACCCACCCCCACAAACCGCUUCAGCGAAAACAGCGCGUAGAGGCGAAGAGAACCGAGUCGCUGCAACCAGUCUCUCAAGAUCCAGUCUCUGAACGUCACAGCUGGAAAAGUCAGGUGACAUUCGAGUCGGAUGCACCACGUUUUGAAAAACGGGAAAGUGGAGAAUGGAUUUUCUAGGGCCGGUACACACCUGCCCGGACUGGCCACGGGUCAAUGGCAGAAUGAAGGCUGAGUGCAUCAGGGGCCCAGCCAACCGAAGCAGCUGCCCCGAGGCAGUGGGAAUUCCACAGGAGCAAGGCCAUUCCUGUCCUGGCCGGGUAGACCACGAGGACCCCAUACGUAGCUGACAUUAGAGGUUGGGCAAACCUGGAGGGCUGCCUGCCUUGAUAUUUCCAUCCUGGACCCGAGACCUGUGAAGAUGGAACAGAGGCCAAAGUGUCGUUGGCUACCUCCAGAACAGAAGGAAAUCCAGAGCAGCUUCCCGUACAUGGAAACACAGGACCCAAUCGAAACGCAAAGUGCUGAAGUCCAUUUCCCUGGAUCCUCGUCCUGGAAUUUCCAGAGGCAUCUGAACUCUUUGGGAAGGAGGGCCCAUGCUGACUCCACGUCCAGAGUGGUGGUGCCAAAGAAGUUUGCAUCAGGUGCCUUCUGCGACGCUCCAAGCAUCAGGCCAGUUAAUGGCACCUGGUUCAUUACACACAUGUCAAAUCUUAAAAUCUAGACCAUCAGGUGAGUUUUUUUGUUUGUUUGUUUGUUUGUUUUUGCUUUUGCUUUUUAGUAUCACACCCGCAGCAUAUAUAAGUUUCCAAGUUAGGGGUUGAAUUGGAGCUGGCGUGCGCCUCAGCCACAAGUAACAAGGGAUCUCCAACCCACUGAGCAAGGCCAGGGAUCGAACUAUCAUCCUCAUGGAUACUAGUUGGAUUCAUUUCCACAAGGGGAACUCCCAUAUGAGUUUUUAUUCUACUUUUUCUUGCUCCUUUUUUUUUUUGUAAUAAUUGCAUUUCAGGAAGCCUGCCUGGAUUAUUUCUUUUCUUUCCUUUCUAUCCCUAAUAACUUUCCGUGAGCAGAUCCACAGUGGGCACCAGCAAGGAACCGGGACUCAGCCAAGAGCAGGCCUCCAGGUCUCGACCUCCCUGGGCCAGCCAGGCCUGCCACCCGAAGGGGCCCCCUGGGUCUCACUCUUAUUUUGGCCUUUGUGCACUGCAGAACCAGGGCUGACCCUGCCGAUCUGUGGAUGUGUGGCCGAGACAGGUCCCAGUGUCCUGCCUGGGCUGUGCGUGUGAGGGGAAUCUGUGAUGCAACGUGAUGGCAUUUGUGACAGGGUGAGGGAAAGAGAUUGCUGGCUGGGGCUUCAAGGGGUGUGAUUAGAUUACAGCCGGAGUUGCCUGUCUGGCAGAGAAGGAAGACUCGGGCCUGUGGCGUCCAUAGACAGUGGGACCCACGUUUCCAUACUGGUCAGUAGGCAGUAAGCAGCCCAACAAGCACAGAGCCAAGACGCUAAUUCCACUGCUGCCCUGUGCCUUUGCUAUUUUUUUUUUUUUCUCUUUUUUGGCUGCCCUGGGGCAUCUGGAGUUCCCUGGCCAGGGAUCAGAUCCGACCCACAGUUUGUGACCUACCACACAACGCGGAAGCCUGAUCCUUAACCCACUGUGCUGGGCGAGGGAUCGAACCUGCAUCCCAGAGCUGCAGAGACGCAGCUGAUCCCCGUUGUACUACAGUGGGCGUUCCCUUGUGCCAUUGCUUUUGAUCCUUGGCUUCUUUUUCCGCCUCUGGCUUUCUUUUUCUGCCGGCAUGUGUCUCUCCAAUGCUGAAAGGUUUGGGGAGAAGGAUUGCCCAUUGCCUGGGCUUGUCGCUGUCAUGUCUCCCUGCCUCCUCUUACCCCCGCGUUGCUUUCUGUACCUGGGUGCAUCCUUUCAGAGGCAGAGGCAGUGCGGUUUGGUGUAAGGACUUGGGACUUGGGUGUCAGAUUCAGCAGACCUGAAUCUUUGCUUGGCCACUUCUAGUUGGGUGGCCUUGCAUGAAUUAUUUAAACUCUCGGAGACUUGGUUUUUCUCAUCUGUGAAAUGGACUGUGGGAGGUCUGUGUCUUAGUUGUUGCGAAGGCCAGGCCGAAUUAAAUAAAAUGUAUCUUGUUUCUAAUAUAAUUUUUACA
rnacentral:lncRNA from 1 species